rnacentral:rRNA from 2 species
GGAAGAAUAUUGGGCAAUGGGGGGAACCCUGACCCAGCAAUGCCGCGUGAAGGAAGAAGGUCUUCGGAUUGUAAACUUCUGUGACGAGGGACGAAGAAAGUGACGGUACCUCGAGAGGAAGCUCCGGCAAACUACGUGCCAGCAGCCGCGGUAAUACGUAGGGAGCGAGCGUUGUCCGGAAUUACUGGGCGUAAAGAGCACGUAGGCGGCGAUAUAAGUUGUCUGUGAAAUACCCGGGCUCAACCUGGGGGGUGCAGAUAAAACUAUAUGGCUUGAGUGUGGUAGAGGAAGGUGGAAUUCCUAGUGUAGCGGUAAAAUGCGUAGAUAUUAGGAGGAACAUCGGUGGCGAAGGCGACCUUCUGGGCCACAACUGACGCUGAGGUGCGAAAGCGUGGGGAGCGAACAGG